GUCUGGAAUGUAAACAGAGUCUUGUGACUCCAAGCAACUGCACAGUGGUACAAACAGAAACUAACACCCAUUCCCCAGGGUACAGAGAGAGCUUCGUGCUACUCUUUAUAUACUAUACCCAACAGCUUAAUUAACAUAACAGCACCUGCUUUACUGCUUCACAGCUGUAAAACUAGGUCACAUUAUUUGCUCUGGCCCUUAAAGAAAUGCACAUCUUGUGGAACAAUAAUGAACCUUCAAAUUUAAAGAGACCAUUCAACAGAAGAGGCUGCUGCCACGGAGGACCAGUCCCGUGUGAUGCGCCAGCUCUGAGAGGCAGGCAGAGGGCAGGGCUGCCCCAGGUGGGAAGAAAGUGGGAAUGGAGAAGAGUUCAAGGAUGGUCAGGGAUGAUGGGAGUUGUAGUUUGGGACAUAUUCCUCACCCCCGUCUUAUAAUAUAAGCCAAAAGCAACCUAACAGACUCCUGUUGGAAGUUGGAAAUUGGUGUAGAUGCCAUUAUCGCGUCGGAAUCUGUGGGUUGCUGAGGAAUUUGUGAGCAACUGCUAAAACACUCCAUCUCCUGUGUUUUGCUAAAUUCUCCCGUAAAUGGUGUACAAUUGUUUUGACAUUUCAAACAGCAGAAAGUUAUGCUGGAUAGUUCCUGGGUCUCUCUCUUUUUUUUGUCCUAUCUGUUUUUCCAAAUCCAUUUACAUUUUUUAAAGGAUAAUUCCCUAGGAUUUGAAAUUAUUUUCGAAUGCAGGAGGUGAGGGGGAUAAAAAAAGAGAGAGUUAUCUUCUUCUAGCAGGAGAGGGUGCCAAGACCCCGCCAUCGGAAUGAGACUAGGUUACAGCAGGUGGAGAAGCACAAAGGAGAGGAAAGGAGAGCAGCAACACAAGAGGUUGACUGGCUUCUUGACGUUUGAAUUAUAGCAAUUAUCCUCCCACGCUAUUAUCACUCUGCAGCUCAGUCCUGCCACCCUUAUUCACAUAACUCCAAAACGAAGGUGGCUCUGAGCGGUGGAUUCCCCCACCCCUUGCCUGGCUGAGAAAUCCAGGAUUAGAAUCUCCCUAUGUUUUGGGGCCCCUACAGAGGAUGAAAGUGGUUUUUCUGUGUGAUAUAAUUGGAUUUGUAGGAACAGCAUGCAGCUGGGAGCACUUGAGGGCAGAGAUUCUUUCACAUACUCCAUUGGCUGGGCGAAUGCCGGAUUUGAGGGGAGUCCAGGCAAAGGACCCUUCCUACCUAAUGAGUUCUGCUGGACUUAAAUCACAGGGGUGGGUGGGGAGAGCCAGUGUGGUGUAGUGGUUAAGAGCGGUAGUCUCGUAAUCUGAGUUCUGCUGGACUUAAAUCACAGGGGUGGGUGGGGAGAGCCAGUGUGGUGUAGUGGUUAAGAGCGGUAGUCUCGUAAUCUGGGGAACCGGGUUCGCGUCUCCGCUCGUCCACAUGCAGCUGCUGGGUGACCUUGGGCUACUCACACUUCUCUGAAGUCUCUCAGCCCCACUCACCUCACAGAGUGUUUGUUGUGGGGGAGGAAGGGAAAGGAGAAUGUUAGCCGCUUUGAGACUCCUGAAGGGGAGUGAAAGGCGGGAUAUCAAAUCCAAACUCUUCUUCUUCUUCUUCUAGACAGUUUUGCUUUUGGUCAUGUUCUUAUUUUUUCCAGUCUGUAGGACCUCACAAAAAAAAAGUCAUUAGCAUGUUGUCUGAAUAUGCACAUUUUUUUCUAAGCAAUUUUUCCUAACAUACACAUUUUUGGGGCAAGUAUUAUUCUUUAACAAUACAUUUUUGUUUGUUAUUUUCAUGGAUAUAUGCAUUUUUUUUGUAUACACUCCCCCCAAUAAAUGCAUUUCUGCACACUUUUUCUUGGUCCACCACAAAAUUCAGAGAAGUGCAAAUUUCAAAGGCUGACUGUGUUUCAGCUCAUUGUCUUUUGGAACGUGUGAAUUACAUAGGUAGGUUCACACUGACAUGCAAAUCAAACUGCAUUUCUCUGCCUGCCCUAGUGGUGGGCAGAAGUGACAAUCCAAACAGCAUCAGGUAGUUGGAGAGACUACCAUUUCAAUUCUUCUGAAUUUUCUUGCAUUGCAUCGUGGGAAAUUUAAAUGGGAGCUAGACCUGAUUGGUGGAUAGGAUUAUCCAGAAUGAAACCCUCACCUCCACAUGCCACUAUAGAGACUCCAGCCCAGAGUCAUCCUUGAGAAGGACACCUAAAGUAUUCUGAGUAGAAAUUCAAAUCCAAAUGUUAUUGCAAAAAAUAUAUGCACCAGACUCACAGUUCAGCUAACAAAAUACAAGUAAAGCCUAUUUUUUGACUAUGUUAAGAAAUCUCAUAGAUUCAUAUUAACACACAUUGACUGCAGUGUCUGUGUGUUUUGGCUCAAGUCACAGAGGGGGGAUAAGACAAAGUAGAGACUAAAAUAAUGAAUGUGAAUGGUUAACAUCAUCACUUCAACAGUCAAUCAAUGAGACAGAAGCUAAAAUGAAUACACGUUUCAGCAGUAAGACAGUUCAGAUUAGACAUCAAUGAUGAUGAUAGCUAAAUAAAUUGUAUCAAAAACAAUGUUGUGAAAAGCGAUGAAAGUUGAACCCAACAGAUCAGGGUCCCGGCAAAUCUUAUGUUUGUAGUCUUUCAUGUUUUAAUGUCUGUCCUGUGAGCUUCAGAUGAAGGGCAGUACAGUGGUACCUCGGUUUAAGAACAGCUUUGUUUACAAACUAUUCGGUAUAACAACUCUGCAAAACUGUAAGUAGUGUUCCGGUUAGCGAACUUUACCUCGGUCUAAGAACGGAAUCCGAAUGGUGGAAGGGCAUUGGUGGUCACAGUGUCCCGUUGCACCAGUCAUGCUGCCCACAUGAUGUGGGAGGCCUCAUUAGGGAAUGCGCCUCAGUUUAAGAACAGCUUCGGUUUAAGAACGGGCCUCCUGAAUGAAUUAAGUUCAUAAACCAAGGUACCACUGUAUGCAAAUUUCAUUAAUAAAUAUAAAAUGAUUUUCUAGAUCCAUUUCAAUUGGGUUUUGGCCAGGUUUUGGCACAAAAACUGAUUUGGUUUACCUCUGUUGGGAGAGAGACAGGGAAAUGUCUGAAUUCUCCCCGAUCUCUUGGCAACUUUUGUAACCAUCAACCAAGGUAUCCUUCCGGAACGGCUGAGUUAGGAGUGGCUCCACUUUGCAGUGGUUUUGGUCUUACUUGGACAAUCGUUUACAGAGAGUGAUGCUUGGGGAGUGCUUUUCAGCCCUGUGGAGCCUUCCAUGUGGGGUUCCUCGGUGUUCAAUUUCAUCCCCUUUCCUAUUUAACAUCUACAUGAAACCACUGAAUAGGGUCAUCCGGAAUACAUUGUCAGCAAUAUGCCAAUGACACACAGCUCUACUUCUCUUUUACAUCUGCAGAUGUGGCAGUGGAAGUGCCUCAGUAAUGGACUGGAUGACAGCCAAUAACCAAUGGCCUUUUAAACUGUGUGUUGUUGUGGUGGUGGGGAGGAGUUAUUUUUGUGAUUUUAUAUUGCAAACCACCCUGUGAUCUUCGGAUGAAGGGCAGUAUAGAAAUUUAAUAAAAUUAAUGAUGAUGAUAGAUAGAUAGAUAGAUAGAUAGAUAGAUAGAUAGAUAGAAAGAAAGAAAAUAAUACCAGUUGCUGGCAACUACAGGAGGGGAGAGUUGCUCUUGUGCUCAUCUUCUGCUCACUGGUUUCCCCCAGAUAUCUGGGACACAGGCAUCUAAACCACUGAGCCACUUGGACUUGCCAAUCAGAAGGUUGGCGGUUCGAAUCCCCAUGAUGGGAUGAGCUCCCGUUGCUCUGUCCCAGCUCCUGCCAACCUAGCAGUUUGAAAGUAUGCCAGUGCAAGUAGAUAAAUAGGUGGCAGGAAGGUAAACGGCAUUUCCAUGCGCUCUGGCUUCCGUCACAGUGUCCCGUUGCACCAGUCAUGCUGCCCACAUGAUGUGGAAUGUUGUCUGUGGACGAAUGCUGGCUCCCUCAGCCUGAAAGCAAGAUGAGCGUCGCAAUCCCAGAGUUGUCUUUGACUGGAGUGAAGUGAAGGACAUGAGGCAGGAGUUGAUAAUGCAGGUGAUCUGCAAGCGAGCUGCUGGCCAGCUCUGUGGAGGCUCCUUUUAUUGACACAAUAUGCAAACCCAGGCAGAUACAUUUUGGGCUGUGACCUUUACACAUCUUCCAGUCCUGAGAUUGUGGGGUGGUACAAAGUUAUUUUGCCAUCUGUUUCCACCGUGUCAUUUUCCCUUUGCACAAUGAAGGAGACAAAGGUCUCAGAGACAAAGGUCACAGACAGGAUACAGCAAACUACUGAGAUCGCAAAAGGUUAGACAGAGGGCAAGAUGUUCAGACAGCUGUGGCUUUAUCUGUGAGGAGGAGUGUGCCCUGCACCCCAAGAUCACGCAUGCAGGCAGCUGAGGCUGCCCGCGGGCAGGGAGUGUGCUCCGCACCCAGCAAUCAUUCCUACACAGGGGUCCUUUACAUUUUACCUGGUUGGCCGCUGUGAGAACAGGAUGCUGGACAAGAUGGGCCAUCUUGGCUCUUCUUGUGUGGGUGAGUUCAGGUGUGGCCUUGGAGCUCUUCACAGCAGCUCCCUCAUGCCUUCUGGCUACUGACAUGUGCAAGCAAAUGGCCAGUAGCAGUCACAGCAAGAUGCAGGAAGACCAACAGUGGUGGCUGAAGCCCAGCACCAGGUGGAGACCUUUCUGGCACCUGAGACUUCCAGCACUUGCCCGUUUGCCAUGUGCUGCCUCUGAGCCUGCUAGGAUGGAAGUGGUUUGUGUGUGGAAGGGACCAGGAAAUAAAUUAUAUGACAGCAGGAACCAAAGGGCAAACUCUUUCCAGCUCGGCCACUUUCCCCACUCCUUUCCUCCUUUUAUUGUCGCCUUCAUUACUCAUGUGAAGACUUGGGCAAUUUUCAGCACCAUUUAUCAAAAAAAGGUGGGGAAAACUGCUGCUGGAUUUUUUUUGGUAUUGUUAAUGGGAAUUGCACAGAUAAUGCUCCACUGGAAAUUUACUUCUCGAGUGCGAUUUCAAUUUAGCAGGUGGACCGAGGCUACAAUCAGUGGCAACAGAGUUUCCUUCCUCCAGGAAAAUUUGGAGGUCAUCACUCGAGUCUUUGGUGUUGAAUAUAUGAUUGCAUUAUGUUCCCCAACAACAACAAAAGUGGAAAAUAGGUUAGGAAAUUGCAGGGUAAAGGAGCUAAUGCAUAACCCAUUAUAAUGCUCGACUGCUGUACAGCCGAAUGCCUCCUGUUUAAUUAUGAGGUGGUGAAAUCAGCACAGUGUAGUGACAUUAAUCACUGAAGUAGUGGAGCAUUUUUACUUGAAAAGGAGAAAUUCUUCUUACGGGUAGAUUAACCUUCACCUCCACGUCCUCCUUCAAAUUCAGAAUAAUCUAUGGCAGGGUUGGGGAGCUUUUGGGUCCUCCAGAUGUUGCUGGACUGCAACUCCCAGCAUCCCUGAUUAUUGGCCAUGCUGACUCGGGAUGAUGGGAGCAAGAGUCCAGCAAUAUCUGGAGCACUAUAGUUUCCCCAUCAUCACCCUCUGGGUUAACAGAGGAAGAGACUGCGAACCUUUGGUUCUUGUUUCAGCCAGACCACAGAACCUGUGUAGCGUAAUGGUUAGAGUGUUGGACUAUGACCUGGGAGAGCAGGGUUUGAAUCUCCACUCAGCCAUGAAGCUCACUGGGGGACCUCGGGCCAGUCAACGUCUCUUAGCCUAACCUACCUCACAGGGCUGUUGUGAGGAUGAAAUGGGGAGGAGGAGAACCAUGUGCACCACCUUGAGGUCCUCAGGGGAAUAAAAAGGCACAUAAUAAAUAAAUCAAAACUCACCAGGUAGUUUUGGACAGGUAGCAGGUUUUACGGCAUUACUGAGCUUCUUAAGCAUGUUUACUGAGAAGUCGACCUCAUGGAGUUCAACAGGCUUUACUGCCCAAUAAGUAUAUUUUGAAUUGCAACCUGAGAUUGUUUUCACAUCAUUUUUUAAAAAAUUAAACUGCUUUGAGCUACUGCUUUGUGCUGCAUGUGAGUGCCAUCGUUGAGAGAUGAAGCACAGAAGGAAAAUGGGCACACAGGACUGUAAGAUUUUAUUGUUUUCGGUCAAUGACAAUGUAGGUUUUACAAAACGAUGUGAGGAAAAUCCAGCAGAAGCCUCACAUGUACAAGCUUCCCACUUUGCAACAUGAGAAUAUAUCUAUGUUUAGAUUAAGGUUACCCGAUUUUUUUCAAUGAAUCUGGGGACACUUUUCAACUUCAAUGGAUUUUGUAUGGGGGUAAAGGUAAAGGUACCCCUGACCGUUAGGUCCAGUCACGGAAAACUCCGGGGUUGUGUGCUCAUCUCACUCUAUAGGCCGAGGGAGCUGGCAUUUGUCCACAGACAGCUUCCGGGUCAUGUGGCUAGCAUGACUAAGCUGCUUCUGGCGAACCAGAGCAGUGCACGGAAACGUUGUUUACCUUCCCACCAGAGUGGUACCUAUUUAUCUACUUGCACUUUUGAUGUGCUUUUGAACUGCUAGGUGUGUGGGGACUGAUUUGUAAAUUCAGGGACUGUCCCCGGGAAACGGGGAAAUCUGGUAACCUUAGUUCAGAUCUAAAUGGCUGUGCAUAUUAAGAUUAAAGAUUGGCUGUUGCACUUGAGAGAGCAGCUUCACAUCAUCCUAGCCACCCACUAAAAUCUUUCUUGGAAGUCAUACUCUCCGUCCAACUGUUGGCAUGUGGAUUUUCUUCUUCUUUCGCGGGGAUUUCAUGCUGGCAAUGGGUGGAGACAGAGGCAAUGAUGGACAGAGCCAGAGACGAACGUGUCAUGGAUUAACUGACCUGGAAUAAAUUUGCUCCUAUUUUCACCAUGGCUACCUCAGAUUAGAAUUAUUAAUCCCAGGCAAGUCUACUCAGAAGCAAGCCCCACUGGGUGUGAUGGGGUUACUUGCAGAUGUGUAUUUAACAGACCACUAGAGUUAUGGAAAGUAAGUGGCAGUAAUUCCUUUCUGACUUUAGGGUGCAACACACACACACACACACACACACACACACACACACACACGAAGCCUAUCCAUUUGUUCUUGGGCAGCUGUGGAAAAAUUACAUCAUGUCCUCAAGCCACUUAACCAGCAGAAUUUUUUCAGCCCUUUCCAGCUGCUUUCAGAUAGAAAGAGGGAAUUCAUACUUUUAAAAUAAAUAAUAAGUAAGGAGGAAAAGAAUGGGAAGGAAGGAACUGAUGAGGGACGCUGGGCAGGGCCUUCUUGGUUGCUGCACCCAGACUGGCGAAUGGCCUUGGCUCAUUCUUUGUUGAUAUUCCAAUGCUUAGCAAAGCCCAUUCCUUUCAAAGGUCUCUUCUCUUAUCAGUUUAGUUAUCCCCCUCCACCCUUGUUUGCUGUGGGUGAGACUGCUUGCUGGCUGGUUAUUUCUGCUCCUGCUUUUCUGAUUUCACUGCUGCUCUUCGUGUUUUGUUUUACGAGACUCUUUUUAUUGUAUUGAUUGAUUGUUUUACAUUUUUGUCGCUGUUGUUGCGCCGUGCCUUGAGGGCCCUUUUCUUGAGAGGAGAAAGGCUAGCCUAUAUGUUUUCAUUAUAUGAAUAAAUCGCAUAAACAUAAAUGCACAUGGCAUUUUUAGUAUUUCUUAGAGGGAGAAAUGGCAGGCCCCUGACCCCCAAGGCGAUUAGAAGCUAAAUCUGACCGUGUGGAAGGCAAGAGAAGGAGAGUCUGAGUCCAGGGUCGAAAGAGAUGGAUGUGAGUCCAUGUAGCUACAUUCUGGCUCUGUUCAGGACUGUAAAAUCAUACAAUGGAGAUCACGUGAGGAGCAGGGAAGAGGAAUGAGCCAGUUCACCCCACCCUCUCCACUGCAUCUUUGCCUGGCUGCAGGUUCUAAAUUGCAGAGUGGUAAUUGUGGGUUAUCUGGUGGCUAAGUUUAAAAGAAUAAAAUGACAGUUCCCUGUGUUGGUAGACGGCAGGAGCUCUGUAUUUUGAAGCAAUAAGAUAAGAACAGAAUCCGGUGAGACAGCAGAUUUGCCUUGCUCCAUGUGGAUGCCUAUAUCUAGGUUUAGGGCAAAUAUUAUCUUGGUAAGAGAGCCACAGCCAAUAUUUAAAAUCACAAAACAUGCAGCAAAGUAAAGUGUGGAAAUAUAGGCCUGUUAGACCUGUAAAAUAUCCCCUUUUAAGUUUCUUUCCAAAACUUCCCCUUUCUUCUGCUUUAGCACAGAAACGUCACAUAGCUUGGUAAGCUGGAAAAAAAAAAGUUUUUACUUACAAACUUGUUAAGGUUCAUGUGCUUUUCCAUACAGCAGUCAGAAAACACAGGCGGCGAAACUUAGUUUACAAAAGUUGGCAAAGUGUUCCUUAAUUAUUGAUCUAGAGACACAAAAAUGGCUUGUAAGCCAUGCACAAAAUCUGAACCCUGGUGUAGUCAGGUCCAGACCUCCAUUAUACAUGGAGUUUGGAUGGUAGACUGUUUCCAAAUUAUUUGUAUAGAAACACAAAUGGGGCUUUGUUAAAGCCAUGAGGCUGCCUGGGCUUAGAGCGAUCACCCCAGACGUCCUUCCUGUUAAGUAUAGUGCUUUAAUUUACUGAAAUUGGGAAUGCUUAAUGCAUUACUGCAUAAUUCUGAGAUGUUUCCCGGUAACUUUCAUGUGAUUGGUUAACUCUGGUCACACAGGAGCUAUCUUAUUACAUUCUCCAUUUUGUUUUGGGUGAGAGUGUCUUGACUGUAAUGGCUGCCAUCUCCACAAACACUGAAGAAGGAAGUGUUAGAUAACUCUCUCUCUAAACACAAUAGAGGAGAGGAAUACUAAUGUUUCUGUGUGAAUGUAUGUGAUAGAAAGAAGUACAGAAGUUGAUGUUCUCCCAAAGAAGCAGUAAGGAGAAGUCUACUGGAAGGAGAAAGCAUACCCGCCAACAUUUCUCUGAUGAAAAUAGGGAUGUCCAGCACUAUUUUUCUAGAAAAAGAGGGGCUGGAACUCACCAUGAACACUUCCCUCAGAAUGGCAAUGGCACCGAUCUGAGAGGUACUGGAACUGAGUUUCAGUUGGAAAAAGUAUUGGGAAUGUCCUGUUCCACCUCCUCCAACAUUUUCCCAGUGAAAACAGGGACAUCCUAAGGAAAAGUGGGACAUUCUGGGAUCAGAUCAGAAACUGGGACUGCUUCUGUCAAUCUGGGACUAUCCCUGGAAAAUAGGGACACUUGGAGGGUCUGAGAAAGUAGAAACUUAUUGGAACGAACUGCCUGGCCUAGUUGGGUCAUAUAGAGAAGGCUGAGUGCAAGUCCUGGAAAGAGAAGAAGACAGAGUUUGUUUGAAUGUUUGAGGAAGAAGCUGCAAUCUUCAACUAAGAGAAACUAAGCCCAUUCUUGGAUAAGCAUGUGAAUGUAAAUACUUUGCAUAUUCUCUUCUUUAGCUAUAUGUUCUGCAAGUAUAGUCGUACCUUGGAAGUCGAAAGGAAUCCGUUCCGGAAGUCUAUUCAACUUCUGAAAUGUUCAGAAACCGAAGUUCGGCUUCUGAUUGGCUGCAGGAAGCUCCUGCAGCCAAUCAGAAGCCGCAGAAGCAGCACCGAAGUUUGGCUUCCGAAAAUUGUUCGAAAACCAGAACACUCACUUCCGGGUUUCGAUCGUUUGGGAGCCGAUUUGUUCGGGAGCCAAGGGGUUUGAUAUCCAAGAUAUGACUGUAAAAGUUUUUGAAUAUUUUAACAAGUGUUUGGACAUUGUUUUAAUUUCAAGAAAAGAGUCAGUAUUGUGUCAGAACUCCGUUCGACAGAGCUGAUAAGGCUCAUCUUCAGAAUCGCCUCCCAACGAUUAAUUGAUGACCUGAUCCUUUGAUAAGGCCUCAGGCAGGUCGUCCCAGCAGAGCAUCAAAACAGCAUGCGGAAGGAUGAGAUAGUAUGAGCUACAUUGCUAUGCUUUAUUUUCUAGCUAUGCAGAGAGCAAAGAAAUCUACAUCCUCUCCCUGUGAGAGCAGAGAGCAACUGCACAAAGGAACAAAGGAACAAAGGAAACAGGAAACCACUAACGUCACAUCCCAUCUCCUUUCCCAUGAGACUGGGUCUCUGGAAUGUAAACAGAGUCCUGUGACUCCAUGCAGCUGCUCAGUAAUAAGAACAGAAACUAACAUAUUGCACAUGAUACGGCUUCCUAGCUGCAAUUCAGCUACUCUGCCAACAUGGUUCUCCCCCUUCUCGUUUAAUUGGGAAGGAGGUGUGAGGGCUCUGGCAGGAUCCUGCCAACUUCCAGUAGCCUAGUUAGCACUUGCCCAGUUUGGGGAAGGAACUGGGGGGCUCUAGGGCUCUGCCAGAGCCCCCAUGCCUCCUUUUCAAAGCUUUGGGAAGACAGUGCAAGAGUUGAGGGCAGGGGGUAGGCAUCAGUUUACUGAGGUCUGCCUCUGCUGACUGGCAGUGGCUCUCCAGGGUUUUGGACAGAAUUAAUUUCCAGCCCUCCCUGCAGAUUCCUGAGACUGGGACAUUCUGCAUACCAAGCAGAUGUCCCGACAUCACUUUCCAAAUUGUGUGAAAGACUGAAAGCUCAGUAGUAGAGUAGCGGAUGUUGACAGUCACCCAAAAGCCAUUGCCAACGUUUGCCAGUGUGUGUCUGGAAAAGGGAGAAAAUAUAUACAUACAACAUUCGUGACAUUCGUCUGAGGUUGUUAACAGUCGCUGAAUUCAGGAUAUUUACGGCAACACAUAUAUUGAUCGGCAUUACAAGGGGUUUGCAAUAUUCCAUCAAGGUGAAAUAAUUCAAGCAGAAAGAGCAUGCAGCGCUACAAACCAAGGAUGUGAUUGUGUUUAUGCAGCACGCUAUUGCUGUAAUGCGGAAAUUAUUCAAGUCAGGAACAGCCUUGUGCUGAGUCUUUUGAAAUGAAACCUCUGGGACGCUAAAAGGGCUAAAGGGCGAUGGUUAGUUGUACUAUGGCAUCAAUCAGUAGCUUUGCAUUGCAGUUUUCUCACUUGUGAGAUUGAAAUAAUAAUAAAAAGGACCUUUAUCCCGUUUUCCAGGUCGGUGGCUAUGCUGGAUGUCCAGCAGGUGGUGCUCCUUACCUUGAAGAUGCAAAUCUCUUUUUCAUUACAGGAAACCAAGGUGGUUUGUCUCAACUCUUGCAAAAUCAACAGCUCCAAAUAGGUAAAUCAUAAAAGCGCGGAUCAAUUUAAUUAGUGUCCUGUCAACAUGGGCAGACACCCUUUUUGAUCUAUGCCCAUAUUCUGGGAUCUGACAUGUUUUCCAUAGUUAUUCAAAGGUGUGGAUUGCUAGGAACCUGAGCAUCUGCCUGUCCUCCUUCUGAUCUCUUAACUUGCAAAGCUAGUGGCUAUGAGCAGUCAAGGCCUGUAUGCAGGCCCUUUUCCUUUUAUAUAUGAACAGUCCUGACAUGUGUCUGCUUGCUUACAAUGGGGAUAAAAAGGUAAAGGUAAAGGGACCCCUGACCAGUAGGUCCAGUCGUGGCCGACUCUGGGGUUGCGGCGCUCAUCUUGCUUUAUUGGCUGAGGGAGCCGGCGUACAGCUUCCGGGUCAUGACUAAGCCACUUCUGGUGAACCAGAGCAGUGCAUGGAAACUCUGUUUACCUUCCCGCCGGAGCGGUACCAAUUUAUCUACUUGCACUUUGAUGUGCUUUUGAACUGCUAGGUUGGCAGGAGCUGGGACUGAACAACUGGAGCUCACCCCGUUGCGGGGAUUCGAACCGCUGACCUUUUGAUCGGCAAGUCCUAGGCUCUGUGGUUUAACCCACAGCGCCACCUGCGUCCCCCUACAAUGGGGAUGGGGAACCACAAUUCGAAUACAGCUCUCUAUCAGGCUCUCAGGACUCUCCCCAGGCUACACCCUUUACCUACACUGCUCUGUGCCUUCUCUAAAUGGCUCCUACGUCCAUGGCUUGAAGCAUUAUGUUACUGAAGACCAGUUGUCGGGGAGCACAAGUGCUGUUCUCAUGUCAUGCUUACAAGCUUCCACAGACAUCUGGCUGGCUACAGUGAGAAAUUGGAAUAGAGGGGCCUUUGGCCUGAUCCAGCUUACGGUCUUAUGUUCUUAAACUGACAGUAUUAUAUUUGUGGGGUGCAAGGGAAGAGGAUGUUCAGUCUUCCCGGCUCCCUUGCUUCCCCACAAAUUAUCCAUCCAAAAGUGUGACUUUGACACCUGAUAUUUCUUCUCAGCCAACACCUCAUUCUGUGGCACUGGGGACCAGGACUCACAAAGAGCAGGUGAGGUGGUCAACUUGUUUGCAGGAUAACAACAACAACAAGAUCACAAGAUCUCAGCACAGUUCACAAGAAAAAAGAAAAUAAGAAUGUACCACUUCACAUUGCAGGGGGAGGUGUAUUUGCAGACUAUCAUUUGAGACUGGGUGUGUGUGUUUGGGGGGACAACAGGACUGAAAGUUUCUACACUGGGGGGAGAUCUAUUAUAUAUGUGGCAUGUCAGAGAAAAGCAAUUACAAACCUAGACAGCAUCUUAAAAAGCAGAGACAUCACUUUGCCAACAAAGGCCCUUAUAGUGAAAGCUAUGGUUUUCCCAGUAGUGAUGUAUGGAAGUGAGAGCUGGACCAUCAAGAA